rnacentral:rRNA from 1 species
GAUGAACGCUGGCGGCGUGCCUAACACAUGCAAGUCGAGCGACAGGACGGGCUGCUUGCUCGCCUGACGUUAGCGGCGGGCGGGUGAGUCAUCGGUGGAUACCCUGCCUAUUGGACUGGGAUGGCUUCGGGCGACCGGAUCCAGUACACGACCAUAUAUUGAACCGGAGGGUUCAUUAGUGCUCGCGGUUUUUGCGGUCCCUUAUAGCUGGUUCCGCGUUGGAUUAGCUAGUUGGUAAGGUAAAGGCCUACCAAGGCGACGAUGCGUAGCCGACCUGAGAGGAUGAUCAGCCACACUGGAACUGAGACACGGUCCAGACUCCUACGGGAGGCAGCAGUGGGGAAUCUUGCACAAUGGGCGAAAGCUUGACGCAGCAACGCCGCGUGAGUGAUGAAGGUCUUCGGGUCGUAAAGCUCUUUUGUUGGGAAAGAACAAAAGUGUAAGUAACUCUGCACGUCAUGACGGUACCUAAAGAAAAAGCCACGGCUAACUACGUG